CCCCAGGUCAGGCAGUUACUGGACACAGUGGUCCUCUAACUGCCACAGAACACAGAAAGAGGGGGUUCUGGGUAAUGGAAGCAUUGUGGAGUUCUAGCAGCCCUGUCCCAGUGGUGCCCUCCCAGGUCAGGAGGGCCGAGUGUCAGCCUCCUCAACCUCAGAAUAAACAAAAUCCCCUACAGGGGGCUGCUGUGGUCUUUCCAAGGCUCAGAAAGAGGGAAGAACUGUGGCAAAUGUGCCACGACCUAGCUCUGCCACCACCCUCUGUCACCUGCUUGAUAAAUCCCAACCUUCUUCAGGGCUCUACCUGUAACCUGUCCUCUUCCUCCAAUACACCUCUAUUUUGUAACAAUGUGGUGUUGUUGUUGUUAUUAUUAUUAUUUGUUUUAUUUGUAAAUCAGAGCAACAGAGAAAAAGAGGGAGAGAGGUUUUUCUAACCUCUGGUUUACUCCUCAAAGGGCUGCGACAGCCAGGCAUUCUGUAUUCUUCCAUGGGUGUCAGGGACUCGAGAACCUGGGUCAUCCUCUGCUACCUUCCCAGUCACAUUAGCUGGGAGCUGAAUUGGAAGUGGAGCAGCCAGGAUUCAAACCAGCCCUCCAGUAUGGGAUGCCUGUUUCCCAAGCAGUAGCUUAAUCUGCUAUGCCAUUGCUACCCCUUGUAACAACUUUCAAAGCCUUAGCAUUUUGAAUUUCAGUUAAUGCAAAGAGUUCCCCCCAUACACCUCACUCAGCUCCCUGAGUUCAGUCUGUGCCCACCCCUGUAGUAAGCAGGAUUCCCAUGGCAACAAACUUCUGACAGAGGACAAGUCUCAGCCCUGCUGAUCCAUUCUGUGUCCUCCCACUCUGCUUCUGUCCUGUUCUCUGUAGUGCUGUCAGCAUUGGUCACCAGAGAGUUUUCCCAGGAUGACAGAGAAGGGAGCAGAUGGCUGAGCAUGGCCUUCUUUGUGUCCUGUGUCGGCUCCACCUAGUCUGUCUGGGAGGAACUGGGCCUCUACCCUGGGUGCAGAUGAGGGGUUAAGAGACGAAACACUGUGAUUUCAGCACAGGUACUUGAUACACAUGUAGGUAACACUGAAGCUGAUACUGACAAUUAAUGGCCUGGCAAGCGUGGGGGAGGUCAGGAGCACCUGGGAGAGCUGGGUGCUGGGGAGACCACCAGGGAAUGCUAGGGAUCCCUGUCCCCAGGAGCAGCUUAGCCUCCCCUAAUGCCGUGUUCCUCCAGAUCUCCUCUGGCCCCUGCAGCAGUGUGGAGAACCUGGUGGGUUUGGUCCAGCUUUGUGGCUUGCUCCUGCUGCAUUCCAGCGGCUUCUGCUCUUCCCAAUGCAGCGGGGCCUGAACUGCACUCUUUGUGGAGUGAGCAUGUGUGAAUCUGUGUGUGCGUUUGUGUGUAAGUGUGUAUGUCCUAGCUCUGUGGUUUCUGCUCCAACUGGGCCUGGCUGCUCCACACAUGAGCAUGCAAAUCCUUGUCAGUCUCACCAGUGGCAUGAGUCUGGCAUCAGAGUUGCUUUGGAUGCUCCCCAGUUUCCCCACCACACUUCCCUGGGACAUUCUAGGUGUACAGAUGAAGGUUGGCAGAGUUCUCAGCCCCAUGAUGAAGCUCAGCCUCAGACGGGUGGUGGGGGGGUGCAGGUAGUGUGUCAGGUGUUAGGUCUACCCAGCACGGCAGGAAGCCACACACAUUCAAGAAUUCAAGUCCUCCUCAGAACAGCCCUUACAGACAAUGCUGAAAUGAGAUGCCCCAAGCUGGUGGGGGACCAGGGAAUGAAAGCUCUGUUCUCACCCAAGGUCACGGGGCAGCUGCCUGACGUCGUCCUGCUGAUGUAACCUAGGGUUAAGGCUGUUUAGGAGGAAGUUGGUCGGACUCACCUGAGGAAGGUCACUUCUGUUCUGUGGGACGUCAGCUUAUACUUGUGGGGGGUCCAAUCUGUCUUUCUCCACUGCUGCCAUCUGCCCUGCAGAAGAAAUAGAAGUGAGUCAGGGUAAUGUUUCACUCCAGCCUUUGGCACCAUAACCCCAGGCCACCCUUAACUGCUCUUCAAACCUGGCCCUGUCAUUGAUAACCCCAGACCCAUUUGUGUCCUGGGAUCAGGCACAGGGCCCCUCAGGGAUGUGAGGUAGCACCUGAUUCUCACUAGAAGGCCUGCUCCUUUGACUGACAGUUGUUCAGGCAUCACCAAGGAUGCAGUUAGAUCUGGAUCUCUCAGGUCUCCAUUCCACACCCUCCUGCAUGUCACCUCCUCUUGGCACAGCCUCUUUUUGCUCACCUGCUGUAACCAUUAACCUUUCCCUGACACAGGGACCACAGUGUCCAGACACCCUAUGGAAUGAAUGUUGUCCGUGCCACAUUCUGUUUAGGAUGCACCAUCAGCUUCCUCAUUCCACAGACACCCACCUGUGUCCAUGAGCCUACCCAUAUGCCCCAUUCACUCCCUUCUCUGGCCCAUCUUGAGUUCCCAAGCAGCACUUGCUGCCCCUUCUAGAAAGUUCUCUUCAAGAGAGUGUGUGGUGAAGCAUCCUGGGAACCCAGGGAUAUUACAGAGCCAUCAUAUCCACCUGCAGCUACCACUCAUUGUGUUUAUCUCCGUACUUCUCUAAAGUCACAGGCAAGGGUGAUGUCUUUCUGGUUUGCAUCUUAGUGCCUGAUGCAUGGCUGAAGCCUAAUAAGUAAAACAGAUUGAAACAUGUACGAUUCACAAACACACUGGUGUCGAGUGGCAUUGUAGGCAAUAAAGAUUCCUAGGUUUAAGUGCAAGCAUUUCUCACAGCUCUUGCUCCAAAGCUGUCAGCAGUUGGGUCCAAGUGUGAGAAGAGUUGCUGAACUGUGCCUUCCACACCCAGACCAUUGCUCACUGUCAUUGUGUUUACUGUUAAAUGUUCAUGCUACCCAAAGUGAUUUACAGAUUCAGUAUCAUCCCUGUUAGUAUAUCAAGAGCAUUUUCCAAAAGGUAGAAAAACACCCUACUUGAGUAUGCAGAGCUGAAGUAAUCUUGAGUGAAAAGUGGUAGGAACUCUCUGACUUUAAAAUAUUCUACAAAGCUCUGGUUAUAAAAACAGCAUGGUAUUGUCAUAAAAACACAUACAACAAAGAACAGGGGUCAACAUUGUGUUGCAGUGGGUUAAGCUGCUGCCUGUAAAGCCAGCAUCCCGUAUGGGUGCCAGUUCAAAUCCCAGAUGCUCCACUUCUGUUUCAGGUCCCUGCUAAUGUGCCUAAUCCUUGGGCUUCUGCACCCACCUAGGAGACCCAGAUGGAGUCUCGUGGCUUUGGCCUGGCUCAGCCCUGGAUGUUGUGGCCAUUUGGGGAGUGAACCUGUGGAUUAAAGAUCCCUCCUCCCUUUUCCUCCCUCUCCCCUUCUCCAUCCUUUUAAGUAAAUCUUAAAAAAAUCUAAAGGAAUAGAGAGCCUAGAAAUAAACCCACAUAUUUAUAGCCAUGUGACCUUUGCCAGGGCGCUUAGAAUGUACUUUGGCAAAUCAAUCGUCUCUUCAGUGAAAAUCAUUUGGGAAAACUGGGUAUCACAUGCAGAAGAAACUAGAUGCUAUCUCUCAACAUGUACAUAAAUAAACUAACAUGGAUCAAAGAUCUAAAUAAAAAACCUGAAGCUAAUGAACCAGUAAAAACAAACACAGAGGAAAUUCUUCACUACAUUGGAAUGGGCACCCAUUAUUUUCGUCAGACCCCAAAAGCAUAGGAAAGUAAGCAAACAUAGUCGAAUGGGAUUUUAUCAAAUUAAAAAACUUCUGUAUUCCAAAGGAAGCAAAGACUAGGGUAAAGAGACAACCUACAGAGUAGAGGAAAUAUUUGCAGGGUAUACUUUGAGAACGGAUUGGUAAUGCUAUGUAAGAAAGAAAUCAAUAGCAAAAAUAACAUGAUUCUAUUAUAAUAGAAUGCACAGAUUAAGCAGAAGUUAUUUCAAGGAAGACAGAAGUGACCAUCAGGGAUAUGAAAAAGUGUUCAACAUCACAUCAUCAGGGUGAUGGAGAUCAAAUCCACAGUAAGAUAUCAAUCACGACACUCCAGUUAUCUCGGCUGUCAUCAAAAAGACAAAAGAUAAGGGUUCCAUGGUAUAGCUCUACACAGGAGAUAGAAGUGGUGUUGUGUUUCACAGGAGGGUGACUACAGAUAAUGAUAAUGUACUGUGCAUUAAAAAUAUUAGAAGAUAGGAUUGUGAAUAUUUUCAGCAUGCAAAAUGAUACCUGUUUGAGGAGACAGAUUUGUUUAACCUGAUUUGAACCUGUGUAAAAACACUAUCUGCAUAUCUCAAAAUAUAACAUAGUACUCUAUAAAUAUGUAUAAUUUUUGUCUGUUGGUUAAAAUUUUAAAAGUAUACAAAUAAUAAAAAGCCAAAGAAAAAGAGAAAAAUUAUCCCAAAGGAAGUAAGUUCAAAUAACAAUGAUCAUAGCAGACACCAUACAAUAGAAGAGUUAACAAUUUGCAAAGUUACUUGAGAUAAAUCAACAAAAUAUUAACACUAGCAGUGGAAAAGCUACUAUUUUAUUUAUUCAUCAUAUAUUAGAAUUAUAUAAAAGAAAUUAAGAAAAAUUCAGUGUAUAAAGGUAGGCCUCAGGAUAUGAAGUGAGCAUACAAAAUUCAGUGGUAUUUCUAUUAGAAAGAAAGAAAUGAAAAUGAAAUAAAAUAAUUUACAAAAGAAUUAAAAAUAAUAAAAUACUUGGGAAUUUUUUAAAAAGAUUUAUUUAUUUAUCUGAAAGGCAGAGUUACAGAGAGGCAGAGGAAGAAGCUCCACUGAUCUGAAGCCAGGAGCCAAGAACUUCUUCCAGGUCUCCGGUGCAGGUGCUAGGGCCCAAGGACUUGGGCCAUCUUCUACUGCUUUUCCAGCCAUAGCAGAGAACUGGAUGGGAAGUGGAGCAGUUGGGACUCUAAACAGCACGCAAAUGGGAUGCUUUACCUGCUAUGUCACAGUGUCGGCCCUGGGAAAAAAUAAAAGCCAUAUAAUACCCCUGUGCUAAGAACAAAAUAGUACCAUGAGAAUUUAAAGAAGAUCCAGUUGAGUUGGAGAGACAUAUUUUUAUGAUUUUAAAAAAACUUUUUGUGAUAUACAUUCUCCAAAAUUGAUUUUAAAAUACAUAGAAAUGCCAUCACAUCCUUACAACUAUUUGUGUAAAUUCAUGUGAAAAUCCAUCUGCUACUUGAAAAUGUAUUUGAAAAUGCAGAAUGCAUGAAAUAAUCAAGCAGAUUUUGAAAAAGAACAAAUAUUGUGAUAUUAAACUGCCGGUAUCAAAACUUACAAUAGAGCUGCACUAGUACAAAUCUAUGAUCAAAAGAAGAGGUGAAGGAGUCAAGAAAGAGACACAAGCAUGCAGGGCAUGAGAUUUCUGGUUAUAUGCUUAGGGGAACCUAGGCCUGGUGCCUGGGUACCUACUGAGCCCAAGUUUUAAUGGGUUUCCAUGUCCACAGGCCCAGAGUCUCUGAGAGCAGUGCUUUGUGUCAACCUUAGACCAGCUGGAAGAACCUUCUGGGAAAUUCUUAGCUGUGAGGAGACGAAAAUGCAUUCUGUUAUUUAUUUGUUUACCAGACUGAGCCACAGUAUUUCUUCAUUUCUUUGAAAAUUUUUUUUUCUUAGAACUAGACAGUUUGGGAAUUAAAAUGUGGUAACCAUGGAAAUUAGAGUCCUUGGCAUCUCAAAAUUAUUUUAGGUAGUAGUUCAUUUCUAUAGUGAGCUUAUCAAUAUAAUUUUUAAAGUCUUUAAUUCCUGUGACGUGUGGUUGCUGAACUUUUUGUAGCGUUAUCUAUGGUCAUAGUGUUACUGAUAUUUUCUUAAACAGCAAACUGUUAUAAAAACUCCUUUAAACACGGACAUUUCUGGUGGAUAUGAUGGUCACAUUAUGAUAAAGAGUUUUCCCAGAGUUGAUUCUGAUCACAGUUUCUUACUUACUGGUUGCUCCAAUGAAAUGACAUGUCCAUGAGUCUUCCUAGAUCAACAUUCUAUGUGGGAUCUUCAGUUCAUUUUAUGAACUUAAGGGAAGAUAAUUCUUUACUGGUGGUCUGUGAAAUAGAAAAGUUUUUCUCAGGAAAGUAUAGGAAGUUUGUUACAGAUUACAUACGAUUUUGUCAUUAAAAACAAUGCGUAAUAGAAAACCAACAGGAAAUUUUAACCAGGAGUAUGUAAGUUGAUAGAACUUAUGAAUUUUAAGCACAUUAAAUCUGCAAUAUAGAAAAUGGAAUACAGACAGUUAAGAGUAUAGUAUGUCAGAUUCUAAUAAGAGAUACAUUAAUAUAAGACUAUUAAAUGAAUCAAGAGCAUUGAAAUGAUUAUUUUCCUGUGUUCCAGAAGAGAGAUUGUUGUGUAUCAACUGAUAUGGAGAAGUGGAUGGAAUUGAAAUCAGAUUUGGAUGUAAACUCAAUAAAACUAUUAACUAACUGAGCACCUAGGUUUAUUCAAAUAUGAUGGAUAAGUGUGAGUGUGUGUGUGUGUGUGUGUGUGUGUGGAGAGAGAGAGAGAGAGAGCGAGCGCUGAGAGGGAGAGGAAGAGGUAUAGAGAGAGUUAGACACAGGCACCAAGAGCUGAAACAGGUAAGUUUGGUGCUUCCUAUUAGACAUACUUGAGCAUGUCAUGUAGGGGAGUGAAUUUAGAAGACAAACUGAAUAUAAGUCAUUUCAGCUCAGGGAAAGAUAGAUUUUAUCAGCCUCCUAAUGGUCUCUAAAGUUAGGAGACUGAGGGAUAUCCCCCAGGAUGCAAGUGUUGAUCGAGGAGGCUUGUCUUGCCCUUUCCUGCAACAGAUCCAAGACACAAAAAUCAGUUACUUCUUACAGCUUCCAGCGCACGUGUCACUCCUGAGGGUAAGUCUUCCCUGAUUUUUGCCCAAUCAGUGUUAACGUGUCCUUCUCUAAGUCCCCUGUAGACCACAAUACAUGUCUUUGUCGCUGCACUCAUAAUAUUGAUUGAUUCAUACAGAGAUGUUUCCUUAGCAGUCUUCCCCACACCUCCAUGGGCUUCCCAAGGGUGUUCAUGCACUACUAGUUCCAGGAAUUCUGGUGUGUGCUGUGUGCUAAGGCUCAGCUCAGUGUUGUAUUUAGGGGGAAGAGAGGCCUGAUCCAUCCCUUUGAGCUACUGACUAAUCUUGGAGACUCUCUGUAGAGAGACUGGGAGGUGAUUACUGUGAGAUCAAGAGGAGAAUCCUGUAGGACCUUGCCAUGUUGAUUGACCUGUAUCCUUGAGGACAUAUCCCCAUGCCUUUUGCUCACAAUGUGCACUGGAUUAUUUAACAGCACAGUCUGUUUUGGCAGCAAUAGCCUUGGCUUGGGGACCUUGGGUGUCCAUUAGUGGCAGGCAUGGAUCAGAGGAACCCAGACCUCCUGACCUCCAGUCUAACGUCCACACAACCAAGAUGCCAAAAUUGACAUAGGUAAGUGAGUUCUUGGCUGAAGGACUCAUUUCUAAAUUCUCACUCAUGGGCUUAGGAAUUGAGUAAGCUGAGAAGAUCCCUUUCUUGCCUUUCUUCAUGGAGAUUAUGGAUGAAGAAGAUGUGAGCAGAAAUGACAUAAUUAGAAAGCAUGGCACUACAAAUCCCAACAGUUGAGGUUAAUACAGAGUUCAGGAUGUGUUGGGCGCUGUCUGAGGAGUAUUUGCAUGUAGAAGUACUUUUACUCUCAUAAGUUUUGUCAGUGAGUCCCUAAACUCCAGAAUAAAGUCGGUAACUCCUCUGACCUAGUGUUCUAAGUGUAAGCUGAGUUCCCCACAUCACUGUACUUGUCUGAGUACUGGCUUAAGGACAUUUGGAUACUUUGCAUGGGAAAAGUAUAGAGUUGACACCAUUAGAAAAAUGUGCUGCUGCCCUACCACUCUGGAGACUCGGCUACUGCCUCCUGAACCACAAACCAAGCCCUGCAUGGCAACCUGUAGCCACGACCCCUGUGCAAGGCUGCACAGGCUUGCUCUUCGCUUUCUGAUUGGUUGGCACCUGUGGGCGGUUAUCCAGUCAGAGUUGAUGUACUCUGUUGGCUACCGAGUUUAUAUAAAGGCUGCUCAGGGGCUCUGUUGCCCUUUUGCCUGCUUGGAAUCCCAUGCCGAGGGUUACUUUCUUCAGGUGGGUGCUGAGUGCUGCUGUGGAUCCUCGGAACAAGGAGGUGAACGGCGAAGAACCACAACUGCAGUAAGAGCGGUCUUGCUGGUGGAGGAGGCGUGGCAGUAGGUUCACCAGAGUCCACAGGGUUAUCCGUCCUGCCCAGCAGGUGAGUCGCUGCCCUUGGCCACCUCCAUUCAAGUGCUCAUCAAGUUUGGUGCAAAAGGCCAAGUACCAGCCAGAGGCUUCUACUUUGUCUACCAAGGUUUGUGGCACGUGGGGGUCCCAAAGUGGUCACUGAGGGAAUAGGUGCCUUUGACCCUAGGCUGAGCCUCUUCUUCUGUGUUUGGGGACAGUUGCUGGCUUAUGAGGCACAUUCCUGAAAUUCAGUUGAAUUUAGUCUGUUUGCUUACCCAAUAGACAUUUCUUAGACCAAACUCUGUGGGAUGAGCAAGGAAACCAGACCCAGGGAACCAGUUUCUGCCCCCAUGCCCACUCCUCCAUGCUCCAUUGGAGCCCCGAUGGCACUAGAGUGAGCAGCCCUGGCCUCUUACCAGGACUGUCUCCCCCAGAAGCUUGGUUUGGUCUAUGAGGUGCAGUAAAAGUGUAGGGCAAGGAAGGAUUCCAGCAUUGUAUGGGUGUAGAUUUGAACCCCAGCCCCACCACUUUCCAGCUAGGCCCUGCUGCUCCAUGUCCUGGAGCCUCAGUUUGCCCAACUGUAAGAUGGGAAGGGAGGAGUAAUAGUACCACACUGACAGGAUUGAGAGAGUGCACAGAGUACCUGGUAGCAAGCAGGUCAUAGCCUGUGUUGCCUUCCAUACUGGCCCAGAAAGGCGACGUCUUAGCGCUCCUAGCUUCUAGGUGUAGGCCGCAACCUCCAGGGGUCUGGAGGAUGUCCACCUUCAUGGAGCCCAGGUUCCAAGCAUAGUCCUGUUCAUUCUACCCUGCCCAAGAUGGACUUCCCUGUGGGGUACCAUCCCUGAGCCUGGGUGACAGGGUCCCCUCAGCCACUGCAGGGGUCACUGCAGGCAUGGGAGAUUCAGAGAGCAGAGUCCAGGGCAUGGUGUUAAGACCCACAGGGAGGAGAGGCCAGAGGCAGGCUGGAGGUGCUGGGAGCCGAGAAGAAAGCCCAUUCUCCUGUUAGGGAACCUGGUCCCAUGAUGGACCAGGUACAUCACACUACCAUGGCAACCACUCCAUGGCUCCAGAAGCUGUACAGCCAUGCUGUGCAUCCAAGCUGAGUUCCAGUACAGUGGGCCCUAUCCAAAGAGCCCCGCCCCCUGCCCUAAGGGAAGUGGCCAAAGCCUCCCAGGCUCCCUGCAGGCUGUCUGCUCCAGUCCCAUCAUCUGCAUUCCUGGGCCAGCUUCUGGAGGGAUGUGGCCCACCCCUCAGUGCCCUUGUCCCCUGCAGCCAUGCUCUGGACCAGCGCCACACAGUGCAGCUCUGUGCAGGAACCCUGCUAUGGCAAGAGGCUGGGCAGUGACUUCUCCAUGGGUACCGUCAUCUGCUUGGAAUGCAUUUCCGGUUAUGCCCUGCAGGGGUCACAAGAAAUCAAGAGCCUCCCUGUGCCAGGGGCCUUGGUGCAGUGGAAUGUCUGAGCACCCACCAGGACAGCUGGGGCCAGGUGAGGGAAGGCGGCGAGUGGGGGCACUGACAGCCCCUUCUCCCUGGGGGAGGCAGCAGGCCCAGCAGAUGCCUGCAGGCACAUGGCAGCCCCUUGCCAGCUGUGUGGUAUAGGGAGGCUGUCCCAUAGUCCUGAGGCUUGGUGUGAGAAAAGCAAGGAGGAGGAGCUGGGGUAUUGGGGCAGGCAUGCCUGGGGUCCUGGUCCCUGAAGCCGGGUAUAGUGGGACCAGUCCUUGGUAGAAGCCAAAGCCAGAACAAGAAGGUAUUCCUGAGGACACAGAGAGAAAUCAGCACAGAGGAGUCCCAGGCAGAGGCUGGGGGCCCUGAGGGAGAAGUCUGUGUAGGGAGCCCUGGAGUCCAGUGGGAGGAGCCUCUGACCAGAGCUGCAUCCCCUCCCAGUGCCCUGCAGAGGCAACCUCACAGAGCACAGGGGCAUCAUCUUGUCCCCUGGCUUCCCAGAGCCCUCCCUCAACAGUCUCAACUGCGUGUGGAAGAUCAUGGUCCCUGAAGGUGCCAGCAUCCAGGUAGGGGCACGUGGGCACCUCAGGCUGGCAGGUGCUGGUCACUGGCAAGCACUGAGCUAGUCUGGGCCCUGCCCCUGUAGCCUGCAUACAGAAACACAGCAGCUAUUCUUCUUGAAGCAUGGAGAGGAACAGGGAGAAUUAGACAGGAGGCCCAUCAAGAUAUGGCCUUGCAAACACACUCUGAUGAUCUUCCAGUCCUUGGCCUUGGCCUUUGUGUCAGAUGCUGAGAUUUCAGGACAUGGGCCCCAAAAUGGACUGCAUUUCCAGGCUUCCCAUUCACAUGCAGGUUGGGAACUGCCUGGGAAGGAUGUGAGUGGGUUUUCUGGAGUGACUGCAAUGCUCUGUAGUUUUGACAGGGGUUUGGGUGACACAGGUGCUAACUUGUGUCAACACUCAGAACACGUGCACACUUCCAAUCAUGACAGUGUGAACGCAAUUUGUGUGUUUCAUUGUAUGUAAGUUCCCCUCUGAAGAAAUAAAAAGCCAAUGUAGUUAUCAGAGCCUCCUGAAUGGAAGACUGCCCAUCUGCUGCACGGAAGAGGGGCUGCGGCUGAGGGCCGAGGCUCACGGGUCCUUCCUCGCUCCUUUACACAAGCACUGGGCUCCCUGCCGGUGCAUGGUGCCCCAGUCAGCCUGCAUCUCCCAAGGCAGCCACCAGGAGGGCAGAGUCUCCCCUGAUCCAAACUCCCUGGGCCAUCCGCAAAUGCCUAGAGUCAGACCUAGCUACAGACCUUAGCUCCCUGUCCUUCUCUCCCAUCUGCUGUCCUUGCUCUGGGUUGGGCAGGCAGAAUACAGCCACGCCUUGAGCCCUGCAGCCCUUGCCAAGUCCACUCCAACACACAGAGAUUUACUUGGUGCCUUUUAAGGGCUUGCAGCUGCAGAUGCACUCCUUUUGGGCAUGGGAGAAGCGCAGAGGCUGCCCGUCAGGAGAUGCCAUGCUGCUACCUGCUGCCUGGGAGUCAGCCAGCAUGGGAUUCAAAGCAGGGUGAGGACAAUCUCAGGAGAGAAGGCGAGAGCCACAGGGGACAGGGGCGAGCAUGAGCUCAUGUGGCCUCAGCCCUUGUCCUCUUGUUGGGCAGAGCUGGGGUCAAAUUGGGCAUGGUCUGAAUCUUGGCUCUGUGGCUUACGUAGGUCACAUGUGGAACCUCCCUCAGUUGGGUCCUCUCCUGCGAUACAGGGUGAUGUGGCCCGUGGCAAGGGGAGGAGGGGACGUGUAGACCUGCAAGCCCCAUCCUGCUCAUGGAACCUGCUGGGCAUGUGCUGCUUCCAUGAGGAAGGCCUGAGCAGGAAGGAAGAGGAAGAGGAAGGCUGAGGUGGAUGCUGAGGAAAUCGCUUUGUGCAAUGCCGGGUAUAUAAGGAGGGCAGGGUCAGCACUGGUUGGAGUAGAAAAGUCAAGGAGUGAGGAGCCCACGAAGGUGAGGCUGGAAGGGCCCCGGCCAAGCUUGUGAAGGCUCUGGAUGAGAAGGGUGGACUCUGUGUGAUGGCUGAGUGGUGGCCUAGGGAGUGCCCUGGUGCAUGGGGACAGGCUAAGCAGGACUGGAUGGCAGUGAGGAUGAGGUGGCUGAAGCAGUCCGGGUGCCGGAUAUGGAAUGAGAGGGGCAGUGCAGACCACAGGAGGCAGAGUGCAAGGAGCCACCGGCUGCUCCCUGACAGGAGCUGUCCUGACCUUGAACACAGUAGGAGAAAUUCGGCAGACUGCCUCGGGACCACCUGCACCGGCCUGUGGGCUCAGCCUGAGCCCCUGAGCGUCGCAGAGGUGCAUCUAGGAGAGAGGUGCCCUCCUACUGCAUCUCCCUCUGUGUCUUGGCUCUUGGGAUUUGUCCGCAGGGUGAGGGAGAAGGGCAGUGCUGAGGUGUUCGGCCUGGGGCUGGGGUUCCUCCUGACCCCGAGCUCAGCAGGUGGACCAGGCAGCCAGAGGACCCUGGAGGACGCCUUCCUGCCCCAGGAAUCUGGAGUCUGCAGAGCCUCGGUGCUAUCUGCGUGUGCAUGUGCUGGUCCUUUUCUUCUUUACUAUAAUGAAGUUCCCCGGGGCAGGCUGCUCACAAAGAAAAAGGCAUAUGUCAUUCACAGCGUGUGAGGUUCAAGGGCAUGACGCUAGCAUCAGCCCAGUUCCAGUAAGGGUCCUCCUGGCUGCAUCAUGUCAAGGUGACACCAAGGGUGGAAGUGAGUGGGGCAGGGCAGGCUCAGGCUUUUAGAACAGUGACAGGAGAAGCACCUUCAUCUCUUUCCAGGGCAUGCCCCCAUGUGACCCAAGACCUCUCACUAGGCCUCGCCUCCCAGUGCCACCACCCUGGGGCCCAUGGUCCCAAAACAUGGACCACUGGGGGACAAACACAGCCAACCAUAGCAGUGCCUCGCCAUGGGAGCAUCUUCCCACUGCCUCGGUCUGCAGGACGUUGCCAUUCUCCCUUUGCUUUGUCUCCACCUUGUCUAGCCAUGGGCCUGAGCAGCUGUCCAGAACCCGCUGUGCCCAGUAACGGGGUGAAGAGCAGCCAGCGCUACCUGGUGAAUGAUGUGGUCUCUUUCCAGUGAGCCGGGCUGUGCCCUCCAGAGCCAUGCGCACAUCUCCUGCAUACCGGGGACCAUUCUGCGCUGGAACUACCCUCCUCUGCAUUGGUAAGAGAGCCCAGACCCUCAUCCACUCAAACCCACGCCCCCAGGGCUUUGAGCUCAGUAGCCUAUCAUGGAGUUCAAGUCCAAGUCGAUUUGUGCCAAGUCAGUCCUUAAAGACCCCUGUUUUUGUUGUCACUCAAGGGUGUUGUGACUUGGAGACCUCUGCCCACCAGAUGAAGACCCACAGGUAUGCCCAAUGGAAAAUGUUCUAGUGACUGUUCUGGUUCCAGAUAAUGACCCAGGUCCCAAGUGGAGUUACCAGGGACUUGGGAUUUUGACUUUUUGUGAGAUUGAGAAGAUGCAGUAGCAGCAGUGAAAUGCUGAGGAUUCUGGGUGAACUUGGUUUGGCUUUGUGUCCUAGCCUCUGCUGAGCAGUGAUGAGAUCAGCGGAAACAGGAGAAGACAGGGCGUCCACUCCAGAAGCUUCUGGUCAGGUCAGGGAAGGAGGAAGCGAGUGUUUAUUGAGUAUCUAUUGUGUGCAAGGCUUGGUGCUCAUACUUCCUCCCCGUGGCUCUUAGGAGGAGGAAUCGGUAUCCUCUAGUUAUAGAUAGGAGGUUGAAGGUGCUCGGGGGUGGAGAAGAAAGUGGCAGAGUCACAAAAGGAAACCCAGGUGCUCGGAUGCCCAGCGGGUAGGAAAGAGCCCUCAGAGCAGGCCUGGCAUGGGAAGUGAAGUCCUCUCCCUGGGGGCCAGGGCUCGGUCCUCUGCAGAGCAGGGCAGCAAGGUGACUGGGCUCCCCCAGGGUCCUGCCGAGGCCCUGCCAAGCCAUCACAUCUACAGUGGCUGCUGUCUGUUGAGGUUUGCUGGGUGUGGCCUCCCUGUCGCAAGUAACAUGCAGUGCUUUCAGAGACACACACAGAUUCCUCAUCCGCUGGUUCACUCCCCAGAGGUUGGCAAAGGCCGGGACUAAAGCAAGCCAAAGCCAGGAACCUGGAACUCAGUCCAGGUCUCCUGCAUGGGUAGCAGGGACUCAGCUACUUGAGCCGACACCUGCUGCCUCCCCGGUGCAGUAGCACACCAACGUGGGAUGCGGCUGUCCCAGGCAGCAGCUUAACCAAAGCCUGUCCCACAUGCAGUGUUUUCUGUUGGAACCUCGCAACAGCCCCCUGAAGUAGCUGCUACUCUUAGCUCCAUUUGUACAGUCAGGGAAACUGAGGUUUGGAGGGGUUUAGACAGGAAGUAAAGUUGCAGUUGUGCCCCAGCAGGUCCAGGCCAGAGCCCACACCACACUGAGCUGCCCGGAUCUAGAGGGCACUCACCUGGACCCUGUGUCUGGCAGCCCCUUACUGCUCACAUGACCCUUUCCUAAAGGAGGUCGACUGACCAGGCCACAGUGGCACCCAGUCCUGCAUCCCCAGGUGGCUCAGAAAUCAGCAUCCUCAGCCCCUGCCCCGACCCCUGCUUCUCAGACAGCCCAGCAGGGGCUCCCCUGGAAUUCUGCCCAGUCACUGUCCUGAGCCUCACCUGCUGGCCAGCCUGGCCCCUGGCAUGCAGUAGGCUCACAAUGCCCGCCACCUCCUUGUUUCACUAUUUGUCUCCAUUUUAGAAGAGUGGUUCAGGCAGUGAGGUGAGGGAGACCUGAGGGACUGUGUAUCAAGUGGUGGGACCUGGAGCAGCCCCACCCUGCUUUUCCUGCAGGUCCUGGGUGCAAGGACCCAUGAGGGCUGUGAUCAAGCCCAAGACCCCCCUCUCCCGGAUCUGUGGACUCCUAGCAGUUUAGGGCUAUGCACCUUUCCCUGAAUGUACUCACUCAGUUUGGUCUGGGUGUGCAGUUUUGUAGGGUGACCCCUUUGGAUUCUGAAAGAGCUUUGUGACUCAGGAAAGUCAAAACUCACUGCUGUAAGGGGGCUCUAGACCACCAGUGUGGCCCAAUGCAUGCCUCCAUGCUGGCCUAACCCUUGGUCUCACCUCCUUGUCACAGCACAGUGUGGGGGAGCAGUGGAGGAGAUGGAGGGGGUCAUCCUGAGCCCUGGCUUCCUGGGCAACUACCCCAAUAACAUGGACUGCUCUUGGAAGAUCACACUGCCCAUGGGCUUUGAUAUCUCUGGUUGGAGAAGUAAAGGCUUUGCACUGGCACGGAUCAAAAGGGCUGCACUUGGAGACUACUCUGCCCACACCAUGGAGUUUCUGCAUCCCAGGAGGCUGAGGCAUGAAGAGGGCCCCUUUUGUCCUUUCCUCUACAGUCUGGAGUGGGAGUAUGUCUUCAGGUUCCGGAAGAGGGAAGCAGCCUAACUGGGCUUCUCUAAAUCUGGUUGGAAGAGCAGAGGGAUUGGUGACCCUCUGAAGGUUGGGGUCUUAAUGACCAGGUCCCAUCUGCCAAAAGACGCCAGGCACACAGUGAUGACAGCUUUGGCAGUCUUGAGAGACUCCAGAUUCUGAGACACCGAGGAAGGGGGUGUCUGGGAGACCCUGUAGUUCUGCCUGCAGGCUGAGGGCAGUGGAGCCUUAGAUGAUGGAGGGCGAGGAGAAUCUCAAGGCAAGCGAGUUCAGAUGGGAGGGCUGCUGUGGGUAAGCCAUUGUGUUCAGCCACCAGCGCGCUUAAGCAAGCUCUGGGGAAGACACUACUGCAGGCUCCAGUCGCAGCUGCCAGAAUCCUUUAACUACAAGUGAGUGUUGAACUACUCACCAGGCUUAGAAUUGUGGUACCUGGUUUCCUUGUGUAAAGGGCCCCUGCAUUUACAAGUUGCUGCCACUAGGUGGAGGUCAUGGGCCAGUCCUUUUUGCACAUUUCACAAAUUCAACCUUCAGAAGCCUGUGGGAUUCCUCAGGGCCCCAGGGAUCAUAGUGUGGGGAUGGAAAGCACAGGCUCUGUGGGUGAUAGGUUGCAAAGAGGCUCACUGCAAAAUUACCUGCCAUCUGUAACAGGGUCUGCUCACUAAGAGUGACUUAUACUGUCAAACAGCUCACAUGAUGGAGUUAAAAUGAAUGAGUGCUAGUUUUUGUAUGUUAUUAUAGUGCCAUGCAUGUACGUGUUUAAAACCCAGAAACCCCAGUACGUAUUUCAGAAUCUACACCCAGGAGCUGGAAGGAUGCCUUCCAAACCCAUGCAAAGGAUAGCUUCUGUGGAGGGACACAGUAGGGUGGGACAGGGCAGGAGACAAAGGGUUUUCAGCCUUGUACAUCAAGUACAGCAGAGACUGUUACAUAUUGCAGGUAAUUUUGCAGUGAUCUUCACACCUAUCACGCAUGGAGUCUGUGCUUUCCAGCCCCACACUCGGAUCU